ACAGUCCCCACGCUGGCCCGGAAAGCUCAUCGCCAUAUUAAGAAAGGAAAAAGCCUGAGCUAAAAAUAAGACCAGAUGAGUCGGAGCGGAGGAGAAGGUGGUAAAAAGCACCCGGGCUGCAGGAAGAGACCCCCUGCACUUCCCUUUCACGAACAAGGACCAAGGAUGAUGUCAUUCUCAGAAUAAAAGAUGGAGCCUCAGCCAGGACGGGCGACCUGGCUCAGCCCCAGCCA